AUUGAACGCUGGCGGCGUGCCUAACACAUGCAAGUCGAGCGGUAAGGCCCUUUCGGGGGUACACGAGCGGCGAACGGGUGAGUAACACGUGGGUGACCUGCCCUUAGCUCUGGGAUAAGCCUGGGAAACUGGGUCUAAUACCGGAUAUGACCCUAUGGCGCAUGUUGUGGGGUGGAAAGCCUUGUGCGGCUAGGGAUGGGCCCGCGGCCUAUCAGCUUGUUGGUGGGGUGAUGGCCACCAAGGCGACGACGGGUAGCCGGCCUGAGAGGGCGACCGGCCACACUGGGACUGAGACACGGCCCAGACUCCUACGGGAGGCAGCAGUGGGGAAUCUUGCGCAAUGGGCGAAAGCCUGACGCAGCGACGCCGCGUGAGGGAUGACGGCCU
rnacentral:rRNA from 1 species